UGAGGCAAGGAUGGUUUCAUAUAUUUUGAAAUACAUAGCAUCUACCUUCACGGGAAAGAGGGUCCCAUCUACUGCCAAAUAGUUGUAUUUUCAGCAAUGGAUCCACCUCCACCACCAUCGACACCACUGCUUGGCCCAGCUCCACCUGGUGGAGGAUUCUUAGGCUGCUGUGUAUGGUUUCUGUGCUGCUGUGGUUUGUUUAGAAGCUGCUUUCCUCCACUCUUUGAGUCUGGGCCUCCCCCUCCCUAGUGGUGGUGCAUUACUUUUGUACCUAAUUUUCUAAGAGAUGUAUUGUUUGUGUAUUUUGCGGGAAAUAGUAACCAAUGUCUAGUUGGCUUCUGAUUUAGUCAUUAAAUUGUACUAGUGUAACCUUAAAUUUUGUGGCAAUGAUGCCUUUUUAUCCUCUUAUUCAUCUUGUUUCAUGAAUGUUCUCUAUGUGGAAGUCUAAGUCCCGGUUGCAGA